GGGCCCUUAGCUCAGUUGGUAGAGCAACUGACUUUUAAUCAGUAGGUCGCUGGUUCGAGCCCAGCAGGGCUCACCA
rnacentral:tRNA from 3 species